CNUUGUAGCAAUACAAGGCAGACGGCUCAGUNNCGCGUAGUCAACCUAACCUAUGGACGGGAAUAACCUCGGGAAACUGAGAAUAAUGCCCGAUAGAACACUAUACCUGGAAUGGUUUGUGUUCCAAAUGAUUUAUCGCCGUAGGAUGGGACUGCGGCCUAUCAGUUUGUUGGUGAGGUAAUGGCCCACCAAGACUAUUACAGGUACGGGCUCUGAGAGGAGUAGCCCGGAGAUGGGUACUGAGACACGGACCCAGGCCCUAUGGGGCGCAGCAGGCGAGAAAACUUUGCAAUGUGCGAAAGCACGACAAGGUUAAUCCGAGUGGUUUCUGCUAAAGGAACCUUUUGUUAGUCCUAGAAACACUAACGAAUAAGGGGUGGGCAAGUUCUGGUGUCAGCCGCCGCGGUAAAACCAGCACCUCAAGUGGUCAGGAUGAUUAUUGGGCCUAAAGCAUCCGUAGCCGGCUCUGUAAGUUUUCGGUUAAAUCUGUACGCUCAACGUACAGGCUGCCGGGAAUACUGCAGCGCUAGGGAGUGGGAGAGGUANACGGUACUCGGUAGGAAGGGGUAAAUCCUUUGAUCUAUGAUGACCACCUGUGG
rnacentral:rRNA from 2 species